AAGGGAAGAUUCAGGGCAGCUGGUGUUGCAGCUCCAUCUACCAGGAAGCAACGAGUCAAACUCUGCUGUCAGUCACAGAUGGUGUAAUUAAUUCUUCUAGGUGGAAAGCUCAGAGCAACCGCAAUGGAAGCUGACUCAUGGCCCAUACAUGGGAGAUGGAGAAACUAUGACUGGAAAACUUUCUGCAGCAACUUGCAUGAGAUUCCACCUUGAGCCAUGUUUCUCUGACAACACAGUUGUUCCCAAGCUGAGUGAGAAGCCUUGCACAGUGUAGUUCUUCUAUCAGGGUCCAUGGGGCUCCCAUACAUUGACACAGCUUCUGAAAUGGACCAGACCUUCAGUGCUGCUAGUUGUGUUGAUGAGCUCAGAAACUGUUCCCUGCUAUGAAAAGAAACCUCAAAUUGGUUCUCCCAUGAGGUCUGGUAUGAGAUCUGGUGAUAUCUUCACAUUUUACAUUAAUAAAAUGAAGUCUGUUCCCUCUCUUACUUAUAUGUAUAGUAUGCUCUAUGAAAACAGUAGAUAUUUUUAAUGUUUCAAUAGCUUUUAUCAGAAGAAAAUGGAAACCAUACUUCUUAAAUGAAUUUUAUCUCUAUGGCAGUUCCAUAAAUUCAGAUCUGUGCCAGUUUAUUGCAGUCUAUUUUCUCCUCAGUGAGCAUCUGCUUAACAGUUCAGUGCAGAUAAAGAGGGAUGGGAACAUUCUAGCACACACCUAACUCCACCUCGUGGCAUGGCAGAAGUUACUUAGGUCACUAAUUCAUUUUCCUAGCACAAAUACUUUGGUCAAGCAGAAUGUUGUGUCAACCAAACAUGAGGUUUGUGCUCUCUUUUCCCUUUGUGUGUGUUCUUUGUAGCAGCAGUACUGAGAAAAAUGCAUUGUAUUAAUUUUAUAUAAUUUUUGUAUGCUUUACCCUUAUCUACUUAUAUAGGUAUUGUGUUGCAACAUAACCUUACUGCUAUGACCUAUUGUAACAAGAUGCAGUGCAACAGAUCCCCAAACCUUCUCCUCCUAAGCCUUCCCCUCUUUCUUUUUCCCCAUUUACCUUGGGAUUACAAUUAUUUUUAGGGAUUAUUCAGUCUUAAAACAAAGAACAGAUCUUAACAUCAAAUGGAAAAUAAGUGCAAGACUGAAAAUGAAGUG
ensembl:lncRNA